CUAUGCGGUGUGAUUCAGUGACUGUUUAAAGAGAUCCUUUUGAAUUUCCAAAUUUGAACGAAUUCUUUUUGCUAGUGUCUGCUUUUUUGCUAGUGUGCUUACAUUUUUUUUCAUGCCAAAAACAGCCUGCAUUAAAAACACAGGCAGAUUUACAUCUGUGAAGGCAGAAGUCACCAUAGAGAGGCAUCAAUACCAUCACAGAGAAGACGGGAAAUGGCAUUUAGCUCAUUGAUGGUGAACUGUGGUUGAAAUUGACCAGACUGUCUGAGAUGGCCACUCACUUCCAGACUGGAAAUCAUGGAGGUGAGCUCUGGAUCUCAUAUUUUCUCUGAUGAGGCCAGCAACUGGAUGGAAAAUGCAAGAGCAUCUAACAAGAGGUCUUUAAGUGCCUGGCAGUGUCCUUCCAAGAAGAAAAAAGCUCACACUGGAAGCUUUGUUAUCUAAGAGACAUUCUCGACUGGAUCUGAGUCACAUCACUGUGUCUUAUUUCUCAGGAUUCUUCAAGUUCUCUUAUGUUCCACAGUCUUGUUCUGUUUUCUUAGAGCAAUCUUCCUCAUAAGCAUCCCAUGACUACAAAAUAAGCUGAAAAAAAAUCCCAGCUCAGACUCUCUGCCUUUUAAAGGAGCUCAUUCCAGCUGUAUUACUUUAUUCAGAACUGCUUCUGGGUACUUCUCCUGGAACUCGGGUCAGUGCC